AGAGACGUGAUAGGAAAGAAUGGAGACUCCUCUGGCGGUGAGACAAGGCCAGGAAGGUUUGUGGAUUCGGAGAGCCUCCAGCUGCCGCUGCUGGCGGACUGUCUGCGGCGGCGGUGGCCGGCCGGCGAGGAGUUACCGACCUCCUGCUCAGGCUCAAGGAGGCGAGGAGAAACUGAUCGGGACGCCGAACUGGUUAGCGGCGGCAGGUUCCAAGCUCACCAGGCCGGGCCGGGGCCGAGCUCCACGGCAGCAAGUUUGGCGCAGGAGCAACAGGAGUCACAUGCAGAGCCCUAGAUGGGAUACCUGGGAUCCUACUGCCUCCCCAGAGCUGGUGGCUUGAGGAAGGUGGGAGUUGAGAGGGUUUGGAGGAUUGGACUGUCUGACCAGAGCCUGGGAUUUCUAAAAUUGAAGUUACUUCGCUGUCUCCACUUCCUGCCUCAGAAUCACCAAGCCAUAUUUUUCCUGGGCAUCCAAAAAUUCCCAGAAACCCAUUACCCUCCUUCUACCCCUGAUCCCAAAAGAAAUUGCCCUUCACAUAGCUGUGCAUCUGGGAAGCCAUUGCCUUCUAGUUUCGUGUCUCUGUAGUUGGAAGAAGAAAAAGGAAACAGAGUGAAACAAAGUAGGGACCUUCCAUUUUGCUGGCCUCAGUUCUAGUUACCCUGGAAGGACAGACAGUAUGGUGCUAUGGCACGCUGUGUACGUCCUGCCUUCUCCCAGAUAAAGAAGGUCUAACUGUCCAGGAUCAAGGCUGAGUCUGUGGUGAAGCUGCGCCUGCUUCCACAGAUUCUAAACUGUGAUCCCACAUCCAGGUCUUGGCCUAAGGUAAGAGGAACCUCAGAUGCUUGCUUCUGGACAACUCCAGCCCUGACUUAGCAUCUUAACAGGGAAAGAGGCUUGUCUGGUGAAGCUAAGGCCCUGUGCCAAUCCUGGCUCACCCCAUCUAGCUAGGCCUCUAUUGUCAUUGCUCUUGACCUGGGUGUCCAUUCUGUUGAGAACAGGGAUUCCUUCAAAACACAUAGUCCAGAGGACUUAAUUUCUAGAGGUACAGGCAGAGACAAACUCCGAAUUUUGCAAACAAAUCAUGCAAUAACUUCUACAGUCAAAUAGCCACAGAACUGCCAGAUACACAGGAAGUUACCCCCCAAGCAGUAUCCCACAGACGAAGAGAUGCUGAGGGGCACCCAAGAGCAGAAUGGGGGAGAACUUGAAGUGUCUAGUCCAACUCUGCUAUUGUAGCAGAGAGGGAAACUGAGGGCCACAGUGGAAAAUAAAUUGAUCUUAAGCUAUGCCUGCUACAGGCUUGAGCCUUUAAUCAUGGCAGCUUGGCUGUGUGACUCGAAGUUGAGCAUUCUUUGGGCCUCAGUGAGCCCCUCUUUAAAACCAAGCUGUUUGUAUGAAGGUGAAGGAGCAGACUAAAUAAAUGAUCUCCAAGGUCCCCUUUCAGGCUGAAUAUUAGUAAUUAUCUAUAUCCUAAUGUAAAUGUGAGUAACGGCAAACAAUAAUAAACUGAGUUCAGAUGAUAA